rnacentral:rRNA from 1 species
ACGGGGGCCCGCACAAGCGGUGGAGCAUGUGGUUUAAUUCGAUGAUACGCGAGGAACCUUACCUGGGCUCAAAUGUAUGUUGACGUAUUCUGAAAGGGAUACUUCUUCGGACAAUAUACAAGGUGCUGCAUGGUUGUCGUCAGCUCGUGCCGUGAGGUGUCGGGUUAAGUCCCAUAACGAGCGCAACCCCUAUCAUUAGUUGCCAUCAGGUCAAGCUGGGGACUCUAAUGAAACUGCCUACGCAAGUAGUGAGGAAGGCGGGGAUGACGUCAAAUCAGCACGGCCCUUACGUCCAGGGCUACACACGUGCUACAAUGGCCGAUACAGAGGGCAGCUACCUGGUGACAGGAUGCAAAUCUCCAAAGUCGGUCUCAGUUCGGAUCGGAGUCUGCAACCCGACUCCGUGAAGUUGGAUUCGCUAGUAAUCGCGCAUCAGCCAUGGCGCGGUGAAUACGUUCCCGGGCCUU